rnacentral:lncRNA from 1 species
GCAAGACUUUGUCUUGCUUUCAUCAGUGCAUGGACAUUUGAGCUCUUUCAACUUUUUGGCUAUGAUGAACAUGUUUGGAAUGCUAUGAACAUUUAUGCACAAGUUCUGGUUAUGGAGAAGAAAACUAAGACACACAGAGGAAAUGAAUAUUUCCAUAAGGAAUAAAUAAUAAAGAUGUGAGAGAAUUCAACUGAUCAAUGUGUUUCCAGAAGGUUGGUUAUGCUCCAUUGGUCAGAACAACAACACUUGAGGAAUUGUUUCCUCUGUCAUGCCAUAUACCUGAUGCAGAAGAGAAUGUAACAGUAUGGAAAAUGCUUCUGAUAUGAUUGUAAGUGAAAAAAAUAAACUCCAAGCAGAAAGCCCUAAAGGCCCUGUCCUGACCCCCUGUUCCCUCCCUUACUUCACUUCCUAUGACUUUCCUUACUGUUCCCUGCAUUCCAGCCCCAUUGACCUCCUAGGCAUGUCCCUGCCCAGGGACCUCACAUUGGCUCUGGCCCUU